ensembl:lncRNA
AAUCCCUGGUGGUGCCGGCGCCACCCCAGCUGCAUUUCUGCUGUUCUAACCCUGUCCCCUGUGCUUCCCUGUGUGUUGCAGACAAGCCACUACCUCAGAGUGCCCCCGGAGGCAUCAUCGGGAUCGUGGGAGGCGUCAUCGCCGCCGUCUUCAUCAUCGGCGUGGCCAUCACCGUCAUCAUCGUCUACAGGCGGCAGCAGAAGAGCCGCUCCGACACUGACAACGACCUGAUUGACCUCCCUCCAUCCCACAAACCUGCCCCUCCACCAAAGAGGAAACAGGACAUGAAAAGCCACCUGACUCCAGAAGACAUCCAGGUUGUUCACUUGGACAACAUGAAACACGAGGAGGAGACCCAGAAGUUCCCUCUGCAGACUCCCUACUAUGACAUGGCAGCCCCCGAGCCUUCUCCCUACAGUGACAAACUGGUAAGGAGCACAGGGUGGCAGUGGCACUGCCUGGCACCUCGGCACCCAGAACCCUAAAAAAGAGAGAUGCACAGCCUGGGAUUAUCCCGUCCUGCAGGAAAGCAGCCUCCAC